AAGAAGUGACUAUAUAAAUGACUUUAUAACUAAAUAUUCAUUAAGUGAUUAAGGGUUUAUUUUGGGUGAAAAUGGGUGAGAAUUGUCUCUCCAUUUUCUCUCUAAAGAGGCCAACACCUUGGAGGGUACAUCUAGCAAUCCUACUACUCCAAGGUCACUCAUUUCUUCUACAAUCAAUCCUUGGUGAAGAGACUUAGAGGUUCCCUAUUUUGGGAACUUGGAGAAACCUAUUUUUCCAUCCAAAUCCAUGGAUCUAAAAAGCAAGGAAUGAAGGCCCUAUCUCUUUGGGUGAUUAGCCUUUGCUUAUGCAA
rnacentral:lncRNA from 1 species